UACGUAGGGUGCGAGCGUUGUCCGGAAUUAUUGGGCGUAAAGAGCUCGUAGGCGGUUUGUCGCGUCGACUGUGAAAACCUACAGCUUAACUGUGGGCUUGCAGUCGAUACGGGCAGACUUGAGUUCGGUAGGGGAGACUGGAAUUCCUGGUGUAGCGGUGAAAUGCGCAGAUAUCAGGAGGAACACCGGUGGCGAAGGCGGCUUCCUGGCCUACUACUGACGCUGUGGCGCGAAAGCUGGGGGAGCGAACGGG
rnacentral:rRNA from 1 species